GGAACUCCAUCAUCAGAUUCUU
rnacentral:siRNA from 1 species